CUGGCUCAGGAUGAACGCUAGCUACAGGCUUAACACAUGCAAGUCGAGGGGCAGCAUAAAAGUAGCAUACUUGGUGGCGACCGGCGCACGGGUGAGUAACGCGUAUGCAACCUACCUAUCAGAGGGGAAUAACCCGGCGAAAGUCGGACUAAUACCGCAUAAAACAGGGGCACCGCAUGGUGAUAUUUGUUAAAGAGAUUCGCUGAUAGAUGGGCAUGCGUUCCAUUAGGUAGUUGGUGAGGUAACGGCUCACCAAGCCGACGAUGGAUAGGGGAACUGAGAGGUUGGUCCCCCACACUGGUACUGAGACACGGACCAGACUCCUACGGGAGGCAGCAGUGAGGAAUAUUGGUCAAUGGGCGAGAGCCUGAACCAGCCAAGUCGCGUGAAGGAAGAAGGAUCUAUGGUUCGUAAACUUCUUUUGCAGGGGAAUAAAGUGCAGGACGUGUCCUGUUUUGUAUGUACCCUGAGAAUAAGGAUCGGCUAACUCCGUGCCAGCCGCCGC
rnacentral:rRNA from 1 species